AUGUGUUCAUUCUUUAUUUUCUUGCCGAAGCUAAAACAAAGAAAAGAAAUAAAAGAAGUUAGGGUUUCGUCAUCUCUUAAGUUCAAUUAAGAUUAGAAGUCAAGCUGCAAGCUCGAGGACUGUCAGCCAAGCUCAUCACACUAUCAACUAUUUUGGUAUCUCUUAGCUAAACUUAAAUUAUAGCAUGUAUAGACUAGCUUUGAGAUUGAAUAUUUUGAGAAAUGUUGUAAAUUAGUCAUGCGAAAAUGGCUUAAUUACCUUGCUUGACUUGUUUUUAGUUUAGUUGUGGUUAAAGUUUAUUUUGAUUGAGAUUUGUUAUGCCAUGAAUAUAUAUGUGUGUAAACUGUGCUUAGUGAUCAUAAGUCAAGCUUAGUCCUUGAUUUUGAAUGUGAUAUGAUAAAAUCGGCUAUAAGCUUGUUAAAAUGUUA